rnacentral:rRNA from 1 species
GACGAACGCUGGCGGCGUGCCUAAUACAUGCAAGUCGAGCGAAGUUUUUCUGGCGCUUGCACUAGAAAAACUUAGCGGCGAACGGGUGAGUAACACGUAAAGAACCUGCCUCAUAGACUGGGACAACUAUUGGAAACGAUAGCUAAUACCGGAUAACAGUAUUUCUCGCAUGAGAGAUAUUUAAAAGUUGGUUAUGCUAACACUAUGAGAUGGCUUUGCGGUGCAUUAGCUAGUUGGUGGGGUAAAGGCCCACCAAGGCGACGAUGCAUAGCCGACCUGAGAGGGUGAUCGGCCACACUGGGACUGAGACACGGCCCAGACUCCUACGGGAGGCAGCAGUAGGGAAUCUUCCGCAAUGGGCGAAAGCCUGACGGAGCAACGCCGCGUGAGUGAAGAAGGAGUUCGGUUCGUAAAGCUCUGUUGUUAGGGAAGAAUGGAUAUGUAGUAACUAUACAUGUAAGAGACGGUACCUAACCAGAAAGCCACGGCUAACUACGUG